GUGGCGCCCCGUAAUAACUAUCAAGAAAAUUAAUAAGGGACUUGCACCCUUAAUUCAUAUGAUCCAAAAUCUUAGACACCCAACAAUUAGAGUCCAAUAAAUCUAAUUUAUUUAGAUUAUUAGUAUAUAAUUAAGUUUGAAUUAUCUUAUCAAAUAAGAAAUCCAAACGGAAAGAGAAAUUGGGUUCAACCAUGUGCUAACAAGAUUAUCUUGAAUCCAAUCGGAUUUCUCCAAACCCAAUUGAUACUUCAUAAGUUCAAUUGUUAAUUUCUAACUUAAUCCC
rnacentral:lncRNA from 1 species